UCGCCGCUGGCGGAGAACUCCGCCAUGCCCGUGGUGGCGCUGAUAUUGCGGAAGGUGUCGGCGUCUUCGUUCCAGCCGUAGACGCCGAU
rnacentral:tRNA from 1 species